AGACGGCGCCCAACCUUCCUCUGCAGCGCCCCUACCGACCCGCGCUCCGCAGCUCCUGAGGGCUUUCGAGCCCAGAUGGUCAUCUGAGACGAGAGGUGGCGGCGAAGGAGAGUCUCGCCUGUCACGCUCCCGGAGCAGGGGCUUCAUGAGGUGGCCAUGGAAACAGCCUGGCAGACUCCCAUCUCUCCUGGUGCCAUCUCCGGAGCGGAAAGUGGAGCGCCCCGCUGGCGACCAAGGCCGCACUGAGAGCCCUGGUUUGGUCAACAGUUGGGCUCCAAGGACAGUCAUUGACUGAUGGCUGGACGACAUGCAUGUCCUGAAAUAGAAAAGAUUGGGCUGAAGGGAAAGAGAUGAGAUGAGGGAGAAAUUUAUAUCAGAGGACUGCUAUCUCCAUUUUGAUCAGCAAAAUGCCAACAGUGACCCUGAAAAAGCACAGGAUAGAAACAUGACAAAGAUUACAAGACUAGCAGUGCACCAACAACCCUACCUUUUGACAUAGCAAAAUCCAAGACCAGCUGCAGCACCAAAG
rnacentral:lncRNA from 1 species